GCCGGGCAUGGUGGUGCACGUCUGUAAUCCCAGCAACUCAGGAGGCUGAGGCAGGAAGAUUGUGAAUUCAAAGCCAGACUAAGCAAUUUAGCAAGGCCCUAAGCAACUUGGUGAGACCCUGUUUUUU
rnacentral:sRNA from 1 species